rnacentral:rRNA from 1 species
AAAGCAGAUAAUGGAUGCCUAGGAAGUUGUUGCCGAAGAAGGACGUACUAGGCCACGAUAGUCGUCGGGGAGGUGCCAAGAACCUGUGAUCCGGCGGUGUCCGAAUGAGGAAACUCCGGUCCGCGUAAUCGGACUGAGCCCUGCAUUUUGUAGGGUGGGAGACCCGGGGAACUGAAAUAUCUAAGUACCCGGAGGAAAAGAAAACAAUAGUGAUGCCGUUAGUAGCGACGAGCGAAAUCGGCAGAGCCCAAACCUUGUCUUUUAGAUGAGGGGUUGUAGGGCCUUACAUAUUUAUUUUUUGCGGAUAGAGGAAUGUUUUGGAAUAAACAAUCAUAGAGAGUGAAAAUCUCGUACUUGAAAUCCAAGAGAAAUAAGUGAGGUACCUGAGUACUGCAGGAGACGCUAGACUCCAGUAGGAAUCUGGGGCGACCACGCUCCAAGGCUAAAUACAACAACUUACCGAUAGUGAACUAGUACCGUGAGGGAAAGGUGAAAAGAAGGGUGAGACACCCAGUGAAAUAGUAACUGAAAUUAUCUGCUGACAAACAGAUAGAGCUUGUCUUUUAGACGAGUAAUAUCGUGCCUAUUGAAGAAUGAUCCGGCGAGUCUUCGUUUUUUGUUCAGUCUAAACCAUUAUGUGGUGGAGGCGCAGGGAAACCAAGUCUGAAUAGGGCGAAUUAUAACAAAGAGCGUAGGACCCGAAACCGGGCGAGCUAACCUUGAGCAGGGUGAACCUCGAUGAAAAUCGAGAGGAGGCCCGAACCAGUUGCUGCGGCAAAAGCAUUGGAUGACUUGAGGUUAGAGGUAAUAUGCCAAUCGAGCCCGGAGAUAGCUGGUUCUCCCCGAAAUGCAUUUAGGUGCAGCCUCAAAGUUUAUACGCAGGGGUAGAGCACUGGAUGAUUAUUAGAAGGUGACUUUUGGUAGUCAAUCAAACUCCGAAUACUGCGUGAUUACUUUUGGGAGUGAGACAGUGGGAGCUAAGUUCCAUUGUCGAAAGGGAAACAGCCCAGAUCCUCAUCUAAGGUUUCUAAAUUCCUGUCCGAUGUAAAAGUCGGACUAAUAGUUAAGUUGCAAAGGAAGUUGUUGUUCCUCGGACAGCCAGGAGGUCGGCUUAGAAGCAGCCAUCCUUCAAAGAAAGCGUAACAGCUCACUGGUCGAUGGGAUGCAGCGCCGAAAAUUUAACGAAGAUAAACAGGAUACCGAAGAUAGGAAUCUUGUGCUUUGCACAAGGUGGUAGGGGAGCGUUGAUAUUGCAGUGAAGGUUUGGUGUAAACUGAGCUGGAGCGGUAUCAAGUGAGAAUGCCGGAAUGAGUAGCGAAAGUCUGGUGAGAAUCCAGACCGCCGAAUGCCCAAGGUUUCCGACCCAACGUUCGUCGAGGUCGGGUUAGUCGGUCCUAAGCUAAACUCGCCGAUUUGGCGGGGUAGGCGAUGGACAGCAGGUUGAUAUUCCUGCACUUGUUAAAAAUUGUUAUUAGCUGCGUCAGGACGCAUCAGGAAGUAUUAAGCGUGGCGUUGAAGUUGCUGCGUUGGUUGGCUAAGGCAGACAUGGUUGGUAAAUCCGCCGUGUUGACGUCGAGGUUCGCCUAAAGUUUCGAUUUAUCGAGAUUAUUUAAACACUUUCAGGUGCCAAGAAAAGUGUCGCAGUCAGAUUUUUAAUAAACCGUACCGUAAACCGACACAGGUGGGCAAGUUGAGUAUACUAAGGCGAGCGGGAAAACUAUCCUUAAGGAACUAGGCAAAAAAGCUAGGAGUAAGUUAGCGAGAUUCCUUCCCCGAUAUUAUAUCGGGGUGCAGCGAAAGACUUUCAGGCGACUGUUUAACAAAAACACAGGUCCGUGCGAAGGGGUAACCCGAAAUAUACGGGCUGAAACCUGCCCAACGUUGGUAAGUUAAAUACUGUGGGUGACCUUCGAUUUAUCGAAGUAAGCUCGUGGUAUAAGCUCCGAUGAGUGGCAGCAAUAACUAUAAUUGUUCUAAGGUAGCGAAGUUCCUUGUCGCGUGAGUUGCGACGUGCAUGAAAGGUGUAACGACCUGAAAACUGUCUUGAGGAUAGACCCGGCGAAAUUGAAAUAGCUGUGAAGAUGCGGCUUACUUACACCAGGACAAAAAGACCCCGUGGAGCUUUACUGUAGCUUGACAUUGUUUUUCAUUUUUUGAUUGUUUAGUAUAGGAGGGAGUCUUCGGACAUCAGUGAAAUACCUCUCGUUAGAAAGUGAAAAACUAACCUGAUUCUCGUGUAGAGCGGGAAAGGGACAGUGUUUGGUGGGCAGUUUAACUGGGGCGGUUGUUUGCUAAAAGGUACCGCAAACGCACAAAGGUAACCUAGCUGCGGAUGGAAAUCGCAGUAUUAGUGUAAAGGUAUAAAGGUUGCUUAACUGUGAGACAUACAAGUCGAGCAGAUGCGAAAGCAGGUCUUAGUGAUCCUCGGAUGCCGAGUGGAAGGCACCGAGCUUAUCGGAUAAAAGCUACCCCGGGGAUAACAGAGUAGUCGCGCCCAAGCGUCAAUUUUUGGCGCCUUCCGGUAGUAAUAUCGGAAUGAUUAGCAACUAAUAUCGGUGGAACCUCUUGAUUUUUCUAUUAAAUUGCAAUAACUUA